UACGUAGGGUGCGAGCGUUGUCCGGAAUUAUUGGGCGUAAAGGGCUCGUAGGCGGUUUGUCGCGUCGGGAGUGAAAACCAGGUGCUUAACACCUGGCUUGCUUUCGAUACGGGCAGACUAGAGGUAUGCAGGGGAGAACGGAAUUCCCGGUGUAGCGGUGAAAUGCGCAGAUAUCGGGAGGAACACCGGUGGCCAAGGCGGUUCUCUGGGCCUUACCUGACGCUGAGGAGCGAAAGCGUGGGGAGCGAACAGG
rnacentral:rRNA from 1 species